rnacentral:rRNA from 1 species
UACAGAGGGUGCAAGCGUUAAUCGGAAUUACUGGGCGUAAAGCGUGCGUAGACGGUUGCGUAAGUCAGAUGUGAAAGCCCCGGGCUCAACCUGGGAAUUGCAUUUGAGACUGCGUAGCUAGGGUGCGGAAGAGGGAAGCGGAAUUUCCGGUGUAGCGGUGAAAUGCGUAGAUAUCGGAAGGAACACCAGUGGCGAAGGCGGCUUCCUGGUCCAGCACUGACGUUCAGGCACGAAAGCGUGGGGAGCAAACAGG